rnacentral:ncRNA from 2 species
GGACAGACCUCUGGAGAGACUUGUGGUAAACAAGCGCCGAAGGAGCAACCCUUAUUGUAUAGGGCAAUCUCUCAGGCAAAAGGACAGAGAAAAGGGA